CCCUUAGAUGCUCUGGGCCGCAUGCGCGCUACACUGGUCGAUGCAACGAGUUUCUUUCCUUGGCCGACAGGCCUGGGCAAUCUUUGAACAUCGAUCGUGAUCGGGAUAGAUUCUUGUAAUUUUUGAUCUUAAACGAGGAAUUCCUAGUAAACGCAAGUCAUCAGCUUGCAUUGAUUACGUCCCUGCCCUUUGUACACACCGCCCGUCGCACCUACCGAUUGAAUGGUCCGGUGAAAUCUCCGGACUGGCGUGAGUCGGAGCAAUCUGACAAACACCGGAAAGUUGAUUAAACCUUACCAUUUAGAGGAAGGUGAAGUCGUAACA
rnacentral:rRNA from 1 species